GACGAACGCUGGCGGCGUGCUUAACACAUGCAAGUCGAACGGAAAGGCCCAGCUUGCUGGGUGCUCGAGUGGCGAACGGGUGAGUAACACGUGGGUGAUCUGCCCCUAACUUCGGGAUAAGCUUGGGAAACUGGGUCUAAUACCGGAUAGGACAAUCGUUUAGUGUCGGUUGUGGAAAGUUUUUUCGGUUAGGGAUGAGCCCGCGGCCUAUCAGCUUGUUGGUGGGGUAAUGGCCUACCAAGGCGUCGACGGGUAGCCGGCCUGAGAGGGUGGACGGCCAAAUUGGGACUGAGAUACGGCCCAGACUCCUACGGGAGGCAGCAGUUGGGAAUAUUGCACCAUGGGCGCAAGCCUGAUGCAGCGACGCCGCGUGGGGGAUGACGGCCUUCGGGUUGUAAACCUCUUUCGACAGGGACGAAGCUUUGGUGACGGUACCUGUAUAAGAAGCACCGGCUAACUACGUG
rnacentral:rRNA from 1 species